GGGGCUCUCGGGACGGGAUGCGGGGACCCCGGGCCGGCGCUCUCGCGGUGCUCCUUGGGCCUCACCGUGCGUGGCCACGCGGGACGACCGUUGGGCUCCUCACCUGGGGGCAGUCUCCUCACCUAGGGUUGGGGCUCCUUGCCCGGGGCCUGAUGAGUGUAUUUCUGGGGUUCCAGACACGUGCAUUUCCCCACGUGCCCGAGGCAAUUGGCACUGGAACCCGUGGUUUAAGUUAGGAAGAACGAAGGUGGGCAUUACCUGGUUUCUACUAGGACAGAACUGCCAGAAGGAAGCAGUACAAAUGAUAAGAGUUUUCUCUCGCCGAAUUUGUACCAGUUCCUUUGUGUUUCCAGCUAGGGAUUAAUAACGUGAACAUCCGACUUGACCAGUUUCAGUAGAGACCUUAGAAUCCGAAUAGACGGGGACGAGAAGCCCUUUGCACCUAAUCUGAGGGGUCACCGUCCUAUAAACGACGUGUUUUAAAGUCGUGGCCUGUUUUGGCCUGUGGGUGCCUCAGAUUAACAACCGCAACAGCUGCAAGCAGGUGUGGACGAGUGCACGUGCGUCUGCUCGCCGUCUCGGGCCCGGUGGGGGUUGACCGUGGUUUCUGUACUUGCUUAUGUCCUGUUUGUCUCCUCGUGGUCCCGGGUGGGCAUGCAGGGUGCCGCUAGCGCCGUCCAACAUAAGCUGCUUUGCCGGUUGGUUUCUGCCGUUGGUCAUCAGCACAGAGCACACUCUUAUCUGGGUGAGAAGCUCCUGGGGCCCGGAGCGGGGUUUGGCAGGUACCUUUUCACCCCACAGCUCGUGAAAUAACAGAGUCUAGAUCUUCCCGCAGGGGAACCUCCUCUGGGCAGAGGUGUGGAGUGGGGUGUGCGGGGGCUGGCCUGGGACAGCUGUGAGCCCGAGCGAGGUUCCUGCCACGGAGCACCUGCGCAGCUGCUCCAACCGCCUGGCCUUAGAGAUGCUUCCUAGUUCUUUAGGCUCUUUUCCCCUCGGACAGUAAGAGAACAGAGAGUAGUAAUGAACGUUCCGUGGGCUCUUCGGCUUCACUGGAAAUUAAAGCGUGCACGUUUCUUUAAUGAAAAUGUAAACUGGUGUGAUGAGAUCCACGCUUAGUUUUUAUGAAUUUCUUCUUCAAGUAGUUUAUUGAGCACCUGCUAUGCGCCAGGCUGUGCUGAUACAGCAGUGAGUCAGCCCUGCCCUCAGGCUGUGAGCCCAGCAGGGGACACAGAUGGCCCCUGUGAUGACCAGAGUCCAUCCUUGCUGAGGUUACAGUGGGCAGCGGGGGACAGAAAAAUCCCGCCCUUACAUUUGGUAAGAGGAAAGUUCUGUUACUUCCCUGGGAACUGCACGUUAUUUUGGUAAUUCUUAGAGCCCUUUGACCCCCUUACUUCCCUCACCUCACCACCGUAUCAGACAGGAUUCCUGUUCCCCCAGUUGUUGAUUCCCCACUUGCUAUCCUAGGAGAGUACAGACUUCAUACCUCUCCCUCGAACCAAAAAGUAGUUUUAACAAACAGUAAGCACCGUGGUUCUCUCCUUUCACUUCUUGCCCUUCUGGUUUUGAUCAAAUAAAAGCAAACCUGUUUUCAGACAAGCCAGAAACAGGAAGAGUUUGCCGUCUUCCUUCCCUCGCCAGAUUGAAAGAUGGAGGUCUUCCACGAGUAGGAACUGCCCCAGACACUUGCAUGGUUUUCUCAGGAAGCUUCGUGGCAUGGGGUGCCCCCCAAAGUGCUGUUGGUGUUUGGGUGGUCCAUUGCAGGCGCAUCUGUCUGCAUCCCCACCCCCCAGGAACACACUCUUGCUUUCUGCCAUAUCCACGAGUUUGUGCUCACGACCAGCGUGGUGCUCCCCGGGGCUCUAAGAGGCUCAGGGGGUGAAGUUCAGAACACAGCGGGUGAGUGUCCGCGGCCCUGUCUCACCAUCCUUGGGGUGCAGGGCUUUGCUGGCGCCCCGAGCCCUGCGCCUCACCUCCUGUCCUCUCGUGGCUGUCCCUCUGCAGUUCUCCAGGCGCACCCCUCCCGCCCUUCUACUUCACAGCCUCCCGGCCCGUCUCCCUCGGCCAGUACCAUGCGGGCCGAGCCCAGCUUGUUCCUAACUCUCCGGCCAGAUUUCAGCUUCUCGAGCACGGGGGUCGUCCUGCUGCCCUCCAGUGCCGGGCUGGCCCAGGGCCCGGCUGCACAGUGGACUAAACUCGUGUCCUGCAACUCAGGUCUUUCUUCCUGGAAAAGUAUUCGCACAACUUAAAAACGUAAGAAGGCUGGUGAAAGUACGAAAGCUUCUCUAGCAUGAUUUUCUUUCAGCGUUCUAUUUUGAUGUGUUUUCAGAUUACAGAAGCUGCAGCAGUUCAAAGGAUUCCCAUUACCCUUCAAACACAUUUCCCAGGUGUUAACUCGAGUGUGAGUUUUGAAGCCUGGGGACCUGCGACUCUAUUCUCUCAAAACGAUUCGAGUGGCGGUGCCGACGGUGGAUGAAGGUCCGUGAGGCUGACGUGCAGAAUGGCCGGGAAGAGGCCGUCGGGCCUGGGCAAGCAGCGCCGGCUCCUGGGGCUGCUGGUGGCGGUAGCCGCCGUCCACCUGGUUGCCUGCCCCUACACCAAAGUGGAGGAGAGCUUCAACCUGCAGGCCGUGCACGACCUGCUCUACCACCGGCUGGAUGUGGACAAGUUUGACCAUCUCGAGUUCCCUGGCGUGGUCCCCAGGACGUUCCUCGGGCCGCUGGUGAUCGCGGCACUCUCCAGCCCCGCCGUUUAUGUGCUUUCGCUCUUGGAAACGUCCAAGUUCUAUUCUCAGCUAGUAGUCAGGGCCGUCCUUGGACUCGGCGUGAUCUUUGGACUCUGGACUUUACAAAAAGAAGUGAGGCGGCAGUUUGGGGCCACGGUGGCCACCCUGUUCUGCUGCGUGACGGCCUCGCAGUUCCACCUGAUGUUCUACUGCACGCGGACACUCCCCAACGUGCUGGCCCUGCCUGUGGUCCUGCUAGCCCUCGCAGCCUGGCUGCAGCAGAGGUGGACGCGCUUCGUCCGGCUCUCGGCCUUCGCCAUCCUGGUCCUCAGGGCCGAGCUGAGCCUGCUCCUGGGCCUGGCGCUGCUGCUGCCGCUCUGCCUGCGGAAGGUCUCGGUGGCCCGGGCCCUGCGCUGCGCCGUGCCGGCUGGGAUCCUCUGCUUAGGGCUGACGGUGGCCGUGGACUCCUAUUUUUGGCGCUACCUUGUAUGGCCAGAAGGAAAGGUGCUCUGGUACAACACCGUCCUGAACAAAAGUUCCAACUGGGGCACCUCGCCGCUGCUCUGGUACUUCUACUCGGCCCUGCCACGCGGCCUGGGCUGCAGCCUGCUCUUCGUGCCCCUGGGCGCCGUGGACAGAAGGGCCCUGGCACUGCUCCUGCCGGCGCUGGGCUUCGUGGCUCUGUACUCGCUUCUCCCGCACAAGGAGCUGCGCUUCAUCAUCUAUGCCUUCCCCGUGCUCAAUAUCGUGGCCGCCAGGGGCUGCGCCCGCGUGCUGACUAACUAUAAGAAGUCCUGGCUGUAUAAAGUGGGGUCCCUCCUCGUGAUAGGACACCUCGUGGUGAACGCCACAUACUCGGCCACAGGCCUGUACGUGUCCCACUUCAACUACCCUGGCGGCAUGGCGAUGCAGAGGCUGCACGAGCUGGUGCCCUCCCGCACAGAUGUCGUUGUGCACAUCGAUGUGGCCGCUGCCCAGACAGGUGUGUCCCGGUUUCUGGAAGUCAACAGUGCCUGGAGGUACGAUAAGAGAGAGGACGUGCAGCCCGGCUCCGAGCGCAUGCUGGCCUACACGCACCUGCUCGUGGAGGCCGCCCCCGCGCAGCUGGCCCCCUACCGGGACACGCACCGGGUGCUGGCCAGCGUCCCAGGCACGACCGGGCUGAGCCUCAACCUGAGCAGGUUGCCCCCCUUUGACGUGAACCUGCAGACCAAGCUGGUGCUCCUGGAGAGGCUUCUCGGGCCUCCCUGAGGAGGAGCCAGGGGCCCUCCAGAAACAUCGGCAGGACGAGACGGGAAACGCGCAGAGGACCACGGGUGUGCCCUCACAGGGGCGCGGCCACAGCCACAGCCACAGCCGGGGCACCCACGUCCACGCUGCCCACCACUUGUGCUGCUUCCAGAGACUGCUUCCACCUGGGUUUUGUUUAAGUGAUUUGGGCACCUUCCCACUUUGCUGAACAGUGUUUACCGAGUUCCUGACACGUGUCUGACUUCACCAGGCACUGAAGACGAUGCAGGGAACUGAGUGCUUUGCCCGCAUGCACACACACCGUGCACAUGCACGCACACGCUACACACGUGUGCGUAGACACAGGCAGUCUUUCCUGAGCCAUUCCAGAGGGAGUUGCCUGCACCUGACCUUUAGUUACUGUUUUUUCCACUGGAGCUGGCAAGCAGUCUGUGCGGGCCCCUCCCCAAACCUCCCCGACACAGCACCCGCUGGCGAUUCC